UUAUUUGGUUUUAAAUUUAGUGCAGUGUGUAUAACAGUUAUAUUAUAAGUUAAUAUAAUUUUAUAUUAAUUAAAGUUUGAUUCUUGCUUAUUAUUUUAAUUUUUGGAUAAUAUACAUGUAAAUUAGGUUUGGAGAAAAUUUUAUUAAAUAAUUUUAAUUAAAUCUCAGUAUAAAAAAUUGGGUUUAGAGAAAUCUCAGAUUCAGUAAUCUAAUUAAGUUCAGGUUAAGUUUGUGCCAGCAUCCGCGGUUAUACUAACUAAGGGCUAUUAAAAUAAAAUAGGUUAGUAAUAAGAGAAGAUAAAUUAUAUAAUAAGUUUUAAAAAAGAAGGUGAAAUUUAAAAUUAUUGUUACAGUUAUUAUAUUUUUUAUAAUCUUUAUUUUACAAAAAUUAAGGCAUAAACUAGGAUUAGAUACCCUAUUAUACUUUUUUAAAUUGUUAAUGCCUAGGUAGUACACAGAUAUGAGCUUGAAAUCUAAAGAAUUUGGCGGUACUUUAAUCCAGUUAGAGGAACCUGUUGUGUAAAUGAUAUUCCACGAAGAAUCUUACUUCAGUUCAAAUAGUUUGUAUACCGCCAUUAUUAGAUGAUCUUAUAAAAGAAGACUCGAGGAAAGAAUUCUUAAUACAUUAGGUCAAGGUGCAGCUUAUAUUGAAGAAAUUAAUGGGUUACAUUUAAAUAGUUAAAACGAAUAAAUAAUUGAAAUUUAAAUUGAAGGCGGAUUUAAUUGUAAUUUUAUUUUAAUAAGAUAAAAUGAUAACGGCACUAAAGUAUGUACACAUCGCCCGUCGCUCUCAUUUCUAAGUGAGAUAAGUCGUAACAUAGUAGAUGUACUGGAAAGUGUAUCUAGAAUUAUA
rnacentral:ncRNA from 1 species